rnacentral:lncRNA from 1 species
AUUUCCCCCAAUCCCAUGGAGCUCCUGUGCACAAGCCCUGCUGGCCUUCAAUUCCAAAUGCUCUGGGGCUUCUCUUCACAAUGCCAGACCCCCAGUCAUGGGAACAUGAUUUGGGACUCAGAACUCUCACUCCUAUGGGUGACCCUCUGCAAUAUACUUAUUUUAUGUCUGCGGGUUGCCCAUACAGUGGGUAUGAGCUUGCUUAUAUUGUGUUAGCACCCCUCCAACUGUCUCAGUGUUGCUUCUUCUUUGGUUUUUGGUGUAGGAUAUCUUUUUUGGUAGUUUCCAGUCUACUCUGCUGAUGGUUGUUCAGCAGUUGGUUGUAAUUUUGUUGUUUUUGUAAGAGAAGGUAAGCUCCAGUCUUUCUACUCCACCAAUUUAUUCUUGUCUCUCUUCUCUACUUAUUCAAAAUAAUCAUUGCAUAAUUCAUGUUAUCAAAUACAGUGAUGAGUAUGAGGACAGGAGAAGGUAAAGGGAAUUAAAACAAUUUGGUAGAGAAAUGUAUUUUUGGUUUUACAGAGAUGUAAUACAUUCAUUCUUUCAUACACCUGUGACCUUUUGAAAUGUCAAGACAUUGAGAAAAUACUCUUAUCAGUUUCCUCUUUUAAAAGUACAUUAUUCAAGAAUAUGCAAAUUUGUCCAAAGAUAUAGCUAUAAUGAAAAGCCAUUUUUUCAUAGAUAGUAGACAUUAAUUAAUAACCAGUGAACUAUAAGGAUCCCUUUAAAUAAUUGAUAGGAGUUAAAGUUUUAUAUUCUUGGAGAAAAUGUAGCACAAAUUGGUUUUGAUGGGUUAGAUGACCCUGUAAAUGACGCCAUGCGACUAUUGUACUUAGGAAAAGCUUUCUCUCUUUUUUUUCAUCCCUUUGGAUAUAAUAAUUACCCCCUCCCACUUUUGACCUCUGGCUUUAACAUAAAAAUAAUCUACAAAACAGGGUUGGUGUUGACUCUUUGUUUCUCUUUUCUUUUCUUUUCUUUUUUUAGUUGGAUGGUUUCCAUUUGUUUUAUGCUUGAGUACUUUUCUUUUUAGUUUUUGUGAAUGUAAUGUUUGGUUUUGAUUUGUGGUUGCCCUGUUUUUUAAGUAUGUUAACCCCUUCCUUUAUCUGCUUAGUUUAGCCUGAUAGUCAUAUAGAUUCAAACAUAUCAUUAAAAUAAAAAAUAUAUAUUUUCUUACUUUCUUUCCCCACAAUCUAUGAUUUUGAUGUCUUUCUUUUUCAACAUUUUCAUGUUUAGAUCUUUAUGUGGGCUUAUUUAAGUGAUUGCUUUCCAAUUGUGGUUUCCUCCAUCCUAAUUCUUAAUUUUUUUUUUAAUUUAGAGGAGCAAUUUCAGCAUUUCUUUUAGAAUGGGUUUAAUAUUGCUAUACUCUUUUAGCUUUUGUUUGUUGGAGAAAUACUUUAUUUCCCCUUCUAUUUUAAAUGAUAUUCUUGUUGAAUAGAGUAUUCUAGGUUGCAGAUUUUAUCCUUUCAGCACUUUAAAUAUAUCUUGCCACUGCCUUCUCGUCUGUAGUGUUUCUGUAGAGAAAUCAGCUGAUAUCCUUAUGGGAGUUCCCUUAUAAAUAACGCUUUGCUUUCCUCUUGUUGCCUUUAGAAUCCUCUCUUUAACUAUUGCCAUUUUUAUUAUAAUAUGUCUUGGUGUGGGCCUGUUUGGUUUCAACUUGCUUGGGGCCCUCUGUGCUUCCUGUAUCUUGAACUCAGUACCCUUUAGAUUUAGAAAGUUUUCAGCCAUAACUUUUUCAAAUAUAUUUUCAAUACCUUUUUAUUUUUCUUUCCCUUCUGGAAUUCCUAUUAUGUGUAGAUUGGCCUGCUUUACAUUAUCCCAUAUGUCUCUUAUAUUGUUUUCAUGUCUUUUCAUUUGGUUUUCUGUACGCUGUCCUGAUUGGGUGUCACUAAUUCAUUCCUCUGCAUUAUUCAUUCUGGUCUUUAUUGACUUUAGCUCAGUUUGCAUCUCUGCAAAUGAAUGUUCUAGUUUUUCUUGGCUCCUCCUUAUAUUUUCUAGUUCCUUUCUAGAGGAAUCUGCAUUACUGUUCAUAUCCUCUCUUAAUUCCUUCAGUAUUUUCACUAUCUCCCUUUUGAACUCAAUGUCUGUCAGACUGCAGAAGUCUGUUUCAUUGUUGACUGCUUUAGGUGAAUUCCCCUGUUCCUUUAACUGUGAAUGGUAUCUGAGCUUCUUAUUCUUGCUUGUGUUUUCCUUUUUCUGUGAAUUUGGGGAAGCCAAACUGUAGUCUUGUAAGGCUAUUUCUAUGCCAGAGUACCUCUUUGUAUUUUUUGGUGGGUUACUAUUUAUUUUUGGUGUGGGAAUUUGAAUAUUUGCUGUCUCUUUCUUCAGUGUGAGUAGGCUGUUGUUCCCAGGAUGCUCAGUGAGUUUUCAGGGAGAGGGAGGCAAUGGGUAGGGCCAGCAGUCAGCACCUGGUUGUUGGGCUCUCAACAGCAGGAAGGACCUGCAGGAAGGUGGCACAAGCUACUCCUAUUUACAGGACCCUGGGAAGUGGUAAUGAGCUCUCGGCAGAUCUACAAGGUGACCAAAGAAUUUGGCAGUAGCAGCAGCAGCGUGCAUGAGUUCCCAGAGGAGUGAGAGCAACAACAGCUUGUGCUGGAUUGCAAUGCCCUCCUCUGAGGUGAUCGGAACUACAGGUGGUGCCCGUUCAGUGACCCCUAGUGGUAGCAGGCCAUGACUGCCUCUGGAGUCAGUGAUAGCUGUGGUGGUUUGCCCCCACCACCUGUAGACCCAUAUGACUUAGGAGGUGCUGUACAGGCUGCUCCUAGUUGCAGGAUUCUCGGAAGUGACAGAGAUCAGGUGUGCAGGUAUUGCCCAGAGCAAUUGGCAGUGUCAGUAGCAGGGCGGUUGUGUUCCCAGGAGUACAAGAGUACCAACAGGUGGUGUUCAGUCACAAUGCCCUCCUCUGUGGUGCGCCUGAGGUGAAUGGGGCUGCAAGUGGUGUCUGUUUAUGGACCCCUGGUGGUGGUGAGCCACUCCCACCUCUGGAUCCAGAGAUAACUGUGGUGAUUUGCCCUUACCUCCUGUAGACCAUGCCAAAAGCACCUUGUCCUGCUUAGUCCCCACAGGAAGUGCUGCACAAGCUGCUCCUAGUUGCAGGUUUCUGGGAAGGGAAAUAUCAAAUUAUAUUAGAGUACCAGAUGUGCAUUUGGUGUUCAUUAGAAUAAGAAAAUGAUGAAUUUUUCCUGUAAAGUUUUUAAUUGUUUCUUGAAUUUCAAUAAGAAAAUAUUCAUUUACUUGCCAAUAAAUGUCCUGUAAAAAAAAAUCUAAAUUUUAUAUCAAAACAGAAGUUGAUAAAGGAGGAAAAUAUUACAUUUUUUCACAAAUGUUUUGUAAAAUAUACUGAUGCAUGUAUGUUUUAGUAAUACUGCUAUAUCAGGAACUUGACUAGAACCUUGUACUAAAAGCUGGAAUGUUAUACUAAUUUUGCUUAACUUAAAAGAAAACAUUUAUUUCAUAAUGAGGUAAGAGAUAAAAUCAAAGAAUUCCAGUAGCUCAAAUUCAGCUAUUACUGACCCUACAAUUUUCUUAAAACUAUUAACCUAGAAAAGUAGUAUAUUUUCAGAGUCAAAGUAAUAUUCAAUUAUAUUCCAAUUCCAGAUAUAUUACAUAUGUAUAUAUUUUGCCAUUAAAUAGACUUUGUGGAAAACAUAGUCUAAUAUAGUCCACCAUCAUCUCUCCCUUGUGUUCAAAUCAUAGUGUAAUCCACUCUCCCUGAGCAUGGGUGGGACCUGUGACUUGCCUCUAGUGAAGAGAAUAUGACAGAAGUGCGGAACUGUCACUCCCAAGAUUACAUUAUGUGAGCAGCUUCUAGCAUCGGAGGGCAGGUUCCAGUCAAUAGCUAGCAAGAAUGUGGGACCAACAGUCCUACAAAAGCAAAGAAAUUAAUUCUGACAACACCCAAAGGGAGAUUGAAAGUGGAUUUUUUUCCCCAUUUGUUCCUCUAACUCAGAACAGCUGAUAUCUUGAUUGCAUCUCUGUGAAACUUUAAGGAGAAGACCUACUAAACAACACCCAGAUUCCUGGCCUGCAGAAAUUGUAAGCUAAUAAAUGUGCAUUGAUUUCAGUUGCAAAGUGUAUGGUUAUUUGUUUUGAAUCAAAAAGAAUAAUAAAAAACUAAACAAAAUAAUUAAAUAAAAAUUUCUAUACUGCUGGCUUUUGGCAAUCUACUGAGCAAAUUUGUGCUACUUUUUUUUUUUUUUUGAAAAGAUUUAAGCAUUUUACUCACUUGCUCAAAUAACAUCUAUGAAUUUCAGCCCACGACUGAUUUACACAACAUCUGUACUACAUGGCCAUAAAUAAGCAAAUACCACACAUGCAUUCUUAACAAAACUUUUCUGCUUCUAUUUAGCAUCUUAAUAUAUAGGAGAAAAGAUUAACACUUUUUCAUAAAAACUUAAGCUGCAUUAGGAGAGCAAAUUAUGCUUUACUUUUCAAUAUUACAGUACAUUUUUCUCUAUUAACUUGGGCUUUGACUGGUUAUUUCUGAAAUAUAGUCUGUGAUUUUUAGAAAGCUCUCUAAUUCUUAUUAAGGAAAUAAUAAAUCUCUAUGUUAUCACUACUUUAAUUUUUAAAGUCAGUGCUCCAUAAAAAUGUAUUAAAAGUAAAGACGUGUAAAUUAGUCUGGGAUCAUUCUUUCCUUGAUGCCAUUUGCUUAUUGUAACUAGCAUAAAUGAAAAUCCAGACGUACUGCCACACUUUGUAAAUGUAGCAUAUUGUAGUGUCCUUCCAAAAUCAUUUUUAAUGGGGAUACAUUUUAUAGAAACUGCACAAACUUCUUAAGUUUUAAAAAGAAAACUUUUCAAAGUUUCUGAAAACAGAAAAAUCAGUAGUUUUAAUAUAUUAAAAUUUCUUAAAGCACUAGAGACUGAUAAGAAUGCUUCUAAUAUCACCAUCUUCCCAAACCCUAUUUCCAGAGCUGUAGCUAAGGUGAUUGUGUUUUUUUUUUUUCCCUAUUUCAUUAUGGAGUUUGUUUUCAAGACACCAAACAAAUUUUAACAUUCAUCACUGUACCCUAUUUCCUUUUACCUAAAUGCCCUUUAUUACAAAAUGGAUACAUUUUAUUUUAAUGUUUUGGGUAGCAAAAGCAUAAAUCUGAAUACCACUCCUCUCUUCACUCACUGUUCCUUCAUUCUCAGCAUAGAUGAGCCAGGAUUUAGGCACCACACCAGGAUUUACUGCUUCAAAAACAUGGGUUUGUUCUAACCAUGUAAUAGCACACAGGAAAAAGCAAGCAAGUAUAAAAUAUUAUUCACUUAUGUCUUAUGAACCCAGGAAGGAAUUAUGAUAAACAAAACUUUAUUUAGAAUCAGAUAGACCUACAUAUAAAUCAUCUUACAACCAUACUAAUUGUGUUACCUGGAAAAUUGACAUAUCACUAUUAUCCCCCUUAGCAUAUUUGUUGUGAAAUGUAAACAAGAAAAUCAGAAAACCUAUUUAAAAUUGCUUACAUAUUAUAAAGAAUCAUUAUUUUAUGAGUUCCUGUCAUGGCUCAGUGGGUUAAGAACCUGAUACAUAUCCAUGAGGAUGAGGGUUCAAUCUCUGGCCUCACUCAGUGUGUCAAGGAUCUGGCAUUGCUGCAAACUGAAGCAUAGGUUCUGGAUGCAGCUUGGAUCUGGUGUUGCUGUUGCUGUUGCUGUGAUUCAACCCCUAGCCUGGGAACUUCCAUAAGCCACAGGUGCAGCCCUAAAAAGAUAGAAAAAAAUAUGUUAUAUAACUAUAUAUCCUUAUGUUAUAUAACUAUAUACCCUUUAUGUUAUAUAACUAUAUACCCUUAAGUCAAAAGUAGAGAUAAAGAACUGUGUUUUCCUAUUUAAUAAAAUCAGUAUUUUAUUUCCUGUGGCUCUAUCAGCUGCAUCUCAAGCUAUCUUUUCCUCCUUAAUUUGUCCAUUAAGGAACAUUCUCAUAGAGUGUUACUUAUCAAGUCUAUUCCAAUUAUAGAAUUUAUUUGCCUUUUAGGAUAUCUUUCCCUGUUUCCAUACCACUGAACAUAGUACAAGCAAGAGACACCUCAGUAAUUUUCCUAGGUUUCCUAUGUACUCCUUCCUGUUCUUUAUUGUGUAGUAGAAGUCAAAAUACUCAUGGUAAUCAGUGUCAAUCAUCCCUAUAAAUUUGAUAUUUUUUUUCUUAUGUGCUGGUAAGAGCAUAAACUGAUCAUCUUCAUUUCAAGUUAAGAAGAACCUUUAAAUGUGUCUCCUGAUAAGAGUGCCUCUCAGGAGUUCCCAUUGUGAUGCAGUGGAAAUGAAUAUGACUAGUAUCCAUGAGGAUGUGGGUUUGAUCCCUGGCCUUGUUCUGUGGGUCAGGAAUCCAGCAUUGCCAUGGGCUGUGGUGUGACAGGUGCAGCUCAGAUCCUGCAUUGGUGUGGAUGUUGGGUAGGUCAGCAGCUAUAGCUCCAAUUUGAUCCCUAACCUGGGAACUUCCAUAUACCACAAGUGCAGCC